GGGUGUAUGUGGCUCAGUGGUACCUAUCUUUUUACAAGUGUAGGUAUGAUGGUUGAUGGAGUUAGAAGUAAUAUUACUGAUAUCCAUGAAGACUUGGGUUAUUUUCAACAAAUAGUGGAAACAUUGGUAUGUAAUAUGUUUGUUUUCUCGCAGAUCCGCGACCCAUUUGGAAAAUUUGAUGCUUUAGCUUAAAAAUUAAAAACAAAGCGCAAACACUUGGAUCAAAGAAUGUAAGAUUAUUCCUGAUGUGGUGAACCUUCUCCAACAAAUACAACUGGUAGUUUGGGCUGAGGCAAGUCAAUUUCACUACCUAACAUCAUAACUACAGAUGACAUGUUUGGCCUGUCAUAUGGAUGUUGUUGCAGACACAUAAGACUGAUAUGGAUGCAGCGCAGAGCUUUAGAGAGAUUGCAAGAAUUUGUUCAAUAUUCACUAAUCAAUUCUAAA